ACAAAGAAAAAUAUAAUCUAUCAAAUCCAAACGCUGGCAAGAAUCCAUGUAUUCUUAGCAUAAACAUUGCACGUGCAAACUAAUUAUUUUGUUUUGCAUAGCAACCGCAAGGCUUCACUGGACACGAACAGUUAUAUACAAAACAGUUGCAUUGCAGGAGACCAGAGAAACAAUUCAUCCUCGUAACAAGGAAGACCAAAAUAGAUCUUCAAGAGUAAAAGUCUCAGUAUGAAAAAACCGUAGCGGCAACGAGGGAUAUCAAGACCAUUAAAAAAUGCAUUUUGUAUUUUAAUGAUAUCACACAGAUGGUUGGAAAAGGCCAAAAUACCAAAUUAUUCAAAAUCAAACCGACUAUGCAAAAAAAUUCGUGAAAAUCAGAGAGUUCAUGUUUGGCUAGCCAUUGAAAUGUAAGACCAGGAUUUGUGACCUUGUGAGGAACUUUUUUAAAAAAAGUGACGUCAAUAUUACACAUUAGUAUAAAUUUUCUUUAAAAUUUAACGAUAUAUAUAUGGCAACAAAGCCAUUCUUGGUCAUGCAAAUGAAUAUUUUCAGUUUGUCAUAUGAAACAGUCGAAUGAUUUGACUGCUAAACACAAAGAUUAGAAGGUUGAAAAAUAAUCUGCAUACUCGAGGAUGGUUUUAAUUGUUCGCCACAAAAUCUUCUCCCUUUUUUAUGUUUUUCUGAAGCUCUGGCAUCAACUAAACAAAAUAAAGAUAUGUUGAUAUAUUGUGCUGACAUCUAACAUCAAACACAAAAAAUUUAAAGCUCCGUUUCCGCUGAACGGAGCGUGAGGAAGGAUGACAAAACGAAUUAUGUGCCAUAUUUACUCGUUAAAACACGCCUACAAAUUAGAACCACACUAAUUACAAACAGAAUUGUUGAAGAGGCCAAUAUAAAAUAAACAUAAAACUUCAAAUCAA